GACGAACGCUGGCGGCGUGCCUAAUACAUGCAAGUCGAACGCAUUUUCUUUCACCGUAGCUUGCUACACCGAAAGAAAAUGAGUGGCGAACGGGUGAGUAACACGUGGGUAACCUGCCCAUCAGCGGGGGAUAACACUUGGAAACAGGUGCUAAUACCGCAUAAUUCCAUUUACCGCAUGGUAGAUGGGUGAAAGGCGCUUUUGCGUCACUGAUGGAUGGACCCGCGGUGCAUUAGCUAGUUGGUGGGGUAACGGCCUACCAAGGCUGCGAUGCAUAGCCGACCUGAGAGGGUGCUCGGCCACACUGGGACUGAGACACGGCCCAGACUCCUACGGGAGGCAGCAGUAGGGAAUCUUCGGCAAUGGACGCAAGUCUGACCGAGCAACGCCGCGUGAGUGAAGAAGGUUUUCGGAUCGUAAAACUCUGUUGUUAGAGAAGAACAAGGAUGAGAGUGGAAAGUUCAUCCCUUGACGGUAUCUAACCAGAAAGCCACGGCUAACUACGUG
rnacentral:rRNA from 1 species